GAGCGAGAAAAGGGGGGCAACUCCCUGAGUAAAGCGGCGCACGGGUGAGUAACACGUGGGUAAUCUGCCCCUGGAGUGGGGAAUAACACCGGGAAACCGGUGCUAAUACCGCAUACGAUCGCAAGGUCUGCGGAUUUUGCGAUGAAAGGAGCAAUUCGCUCCAGGAGGAGCCCGCGGCUGAUUAGCUAGUUGGUGAGGUAAUGGCUCACCAAGGCUACGAUCAGUAUCCGGUCUGAGAGGACGGUCGGACACACUGGAACUGAGACACGGUCCAGACUCCUACGGGAGGCAGCAGUGGGGAAUCUUGCGCAAUGGGCGAAAGCCUGACGCAGCGACGCCGCGUGGGGGAUGAAGCUUUUCGGAGUGUAAACCCCUUUCGACUGGGACGAAUGCCCGCAAGGGAGUGACGGUACCAGUAGAAGAAGCCCCGGCUAACUACGUG
rnacentral:rRNA from 1 species